rnacentral:rRNA from 1 species
CCCUUAGAUGUUCUGGGCCGCACGCGCGCUACACUGACGAAGUCAGCGAGCAUGUCCUACGCCGACAGGUGCGGGGAAUCUUGUCAAACUUCGUCGUGAUGGGGAUUGAUUAUUGAAAUUCUUGAUCAUCAACGAGGAAUUCCUAGUAAGCGCAAGUCAGCAGCUUGCGUUGAUUACGUCCCUGCCCUUUGUACACACCGCCCGUCGCUACUACCGAUUGAAUGGUUUAGUGAGAUCUUCGGAUUGGCGCCACUGCGGCUCAGCAAUGGGCUCGGUGGAUGCCGAAAGGUUGAUCAAACUUGAUCAUUUAGAGGAAGUAAAAGUCGUAACA